GACGAACGCUGGCGGCGUGCCUAAUACAUGCAAGUAGAACGCACAGUUUAUACCGUAGCUUGCUACACCAUAGACUGUGAGUUGCGAACGGGUGAGUAACGCGUAGGUAACCUGCCUGGUAGCGGGGGAUAACUAUUGGAAACGAUAGCUAAUACCGCAUAAUAUUAAUUAUUGCAUGAUAAUUAAUUGAAAGGUGCAAUUGCACCACUACCAGAUGGAACUGCGUUGUAUUAGCUAGUAGGUGAGGUAACGGCUCACCUAGGCGACGAUACAUAGCCGACCUGAGAGGGUGAUCGGCCACACUGGGACUGAGACACGGCCCAGACUCCUACGGGAGGCAGCAGUAGGGAAUCUUCGGCAAUGGACGAAAGUCUGACCGAGCAACGCCGCGUGAGUGAAGAAGGUUUUCGGAUCGUAAAGCUCUGUUGUAAGAGAAGAACGGGUGUGAGAGUGGAAAGUUCACACUGUGACGGUAUCUUACCAGAAAGGGACGGCUAACUACGU
rnacentral:rRNA from 1 species